UAAAUAGGGCCUGAUCCAAAACCCUUUGAAGCCAAUGGGAGUCUUUCCAUGGUCUUCAGUGGACUUUGGAUCAGUCCCAUAUAUC
rnacentral:pre_miRNA from 1 species